rnacentral:rRNA from 1 species
CCUACGGGAGGCAGCAGUGAGGAAUAUUGGCCAAUGGACGCAAGUCUGAACCAGCCAUGCCGCGUGCAGGAAGACGGCUCCAUGAGUUGUAAACUGCUUUUGUACGAGGAUAAACGCAGACACGCGUAUCUGUCUGAAAGUAUCGUACGAAAAAGGAUCGGCUAACUCCGUGCCAGCAGCCGCGGUAAUACGGAGGAUUCAAGCGUUAUCGGGAUUUAUUGGGUUUAAAGGGUGCGUAGGCGGUCGGAUAAGUUAGAGGUGAAAUCCCGGGGCUCAACUUCGGGAUUGCCGUUGAUACUGGUCGGCUAGAGAGUAGUUGCGGUAGGAGGAAUGUGUGGUGUAGCGGUGAAAUGCUUAGAUAUCAUACAGAACACCGAUUGCGAAGGCAGCUUACCAAGCUACUUCUGACGUUGAGGCACGAAAGCGUGGGUAGCGAACAGGAUUAGAUACCCGGGUAGUC